GACGUAGGGGGCAAGCGUUGUUCGGAAUUAUUGGGCGUAAAGCGCUCGUAGGCGGGACAGGAAGUUCGUGUUGAAAGACCUCGGCUCAACUGAGGGACCGGCUCGAAUACUCUUGUUCUUGAGGCAAUCAGAGGGUGAUGGAAUUCCCGGUGUAGCGGUGAAAUGCGUAGAUAUCGGAAGGAACACCAGUGGCGAAAGCGGCUUCCUGGUCCAGCACCGACGUUCAGGCACGAAAGCGUGGGGAGCAAACAGG
rnacentral:rRNA from 1 species